rnacentral:ncRNA from 2 species
GGCUACGAAUUUCAAAUGCCUCGUAUAACGCUGAGAAUAGGCUCGGCAGUCUCUACCAAGUGACCGGAAUCACUUGACUACGAGGACGUUACGGAUGAUA